AGCUCCAAUAGCGUAUAUUAAAGUUGUUGCAGUUAAAAAGCUCGUAGUUGAACUUCUGUUCAGGCUCAUAACGACUCGUCGUGUGAAACUGGACAUACGUCUGCAAACUAAAAUCGGCCUUCACUGGUUCGACUUAGGGAGUAGACAUUUUACUGUGAAAAAAUUAGAGUGUUAAAGGCAGGUUUUCGCCCGAAUACAUUAGCAUGGAAUAAUGGAAUAGGACUAAGUCCAUUUUAUUGGUUCUUGGAUUUGGUAAUGAUUAAUAGGGACAGUUGGGGGCAUUAGUAUUUAAUAGUCAGAGGUGAAAUUCUUGGAUUUAUUAAGGACUAACUAAUGCGAAAGCAUUUGCCAAAGAUGUUUUCA
rnacentral:rRNA from 1 species